rfam:Pteropus alecto contig19944, whole genome shotgun sequence.
GGCUCCAUAGUGUAGUGGUUAGCACAUCUGCUUUGCAUGCAGAAGGUCCUGGAUUCAUGCCCCUGGUGGAGCCA